GCUUUCCUGCUGCUCAGUUGGUAGAGCAUUGCACUAACAACACAACGGUCAUGGGAUCAAAUCCCAGGGAAAGCA
rnacentral:tRNA from 1 species